CUGCUGGUCUCUGUGGCCUUCGCCUUUUGCGAACGGCCAAUGGCUGGUGGCUUUUGCCACCGGCCU
rnacentral:sRNA from 1 species